rnacentral:rRNA from 1 species
CGUGAGUGAAGAAGGCUUUCGGGUCGUAAAGCUCUGUCAAGUGGGAAAAAAGUCUGAUGAUUAAUUGUUGUCAGAUCUGAUGGUACCACUGGAGGAAGCACCGGCUAACUCCGUGCCAGCAGCCGCGGUAAUACGGAGGGUGCAAGCGUUGUUCGGAAUUACUGGGCGUAAAGGGCGUGCAGGCGGGUUGGUAAGUCAGAUGUGAAAGCCCUGGGCUCAACCCAGGAAGUGCAUUUGAAACUGCCAUCCUAGAGUAUGGGAGAGGAGAGUGGAAUUCCCAAUGUAGAGGUGAAAUUCGUAGAUAUUGGGAGGAACACCCGUGGCGAAGGCGACUCUCUGGACCAAUACUGACGCUGAGACGCGAAAGCGUGGGGAGCAAACAGGAUUAGAUACCCUGGUAGUCCACGCUGUAAACGAUGAGAACUAGGUGUAGCGGGUAUUGACCCCUGCUGUGCCGAAGUUAACGCAUUAA